AGGGAUCCAGCAAUGCACCUGGACCAAGUAGACCUGCCGUCUCCACUGGGAUACCGUACCGCCCGGUUCCUCUUCCAUCAGUUCCUCAAGCUCAUGCUACGCGCUCACAUUUUGUGAGGAAAAAACAAGACCUGCAAACACUAUACAAAAGAUGUCGUGUGCUUGCCCUUGUCUUCAGCAUCAACGUUUCUCAUACCGAGAGGAGAUUCAAGAGCAAAACUAGCACAAGAUGGCCUUAUUGGGAAGAUCUCCUUUACAUCUGGUCUGAAGCACAACUUAGAGAAGAAAUAGCAGCAAUCUUCAGAAGAACAUUUGCACUGUCAACUGGCCAGACAUUCCCUUUUGAGUAUUUGAGUACAAUUAGAGGAUGUAAACGACUAAUGAAACCAAAUGUUUCUAGCAGUUUUCUUUGGGGUGGCCAAGAAGUUGGCUCGAUUUGUUCCUCCACCUGCCUCUAUAUAAUGGCAGGGAUACAAAAACCUGCACAGGAGGAACCAGAAGAGCUGUCUGAUAGUGACUUUGAAAGUCCAGUCUGC